rnacentral:lncRNA from 1 species
UUCUAAUGCACAAUUUUGGUAUUUUAGGAUCUGUUAGUUUUACAAAUGCUAAACAGCCCCAAACCCUUAAAAAUUCAAAGUUUGGCUUAUAUUCUUUCCAUAGCUCAAAAGAUGUGAUUUUGUUUUCUUGUGGGGCACCUUAUUUAACAAAUAACAUGCAGUUAAGAAUUCUACACCCCAAAGAUUUGAAGAAGCACGAUAUUUGUCAAAUCAAUCAAAGUUUCAUUUUUUCUUUUAACUACACCAUUAGAUGUAGGUGAGUUUGGAGGAAUAGUCUCAUGAAUUAUUACCAAAUGCUGAAUAAAGGAAUUAAAAGUAAUAGAAUCAAACUCUUGGUCCCCAUCACUUCUAAUUCUUUUCCUACCCAUACGUUUGAUAUCGCCAUUUAUUCUAACCUGCUGCAGCAAGAGCGUCUGCAACUUGGUUUCCCACUCUAUAGAUAUGGGUAAUCCUGUCUCUAUCGAAGGAGAUGAUGUUUGCAACCUUUCUGUGUAUGCCUUGAAUAGCCCAUGGUCCUCUACCUUUGGUGAUGCAAUGAAUGGCUGCAUUGGAAUUUGCCUCAAUCCAAAUGUCUAAAAAUCCAAGACCUCUAACCAGUAGUAUCCCAUUAAGAAUAGCCCUAAGCUCUGCUUCUAAUAUCUUACACUGUCCAUAUGAUGUUGAGAAUGCCUUUAUGCAUUUUCCAGUGUGGUUCCCGAUGAUGCCUCCCUUGCUCCCAAAGUCAUCCUUGACACAUCCAUCAGUAUUGAACUUGACAGAUCUGACUAAUGGAGUGUGCCACCAAACUAUAAUGGGGGAGGAGAUGAAGGGAGGGUCAUAGUAAUCCCAAAGAGAGGAGCAAGUUGUGUGUCAUUACGCUAGUGUAGUGGUCGAAAUAAUCCUCCAUUGCAAAGGAAUGAGACCAUACGGUAUACCUUCCAAAUGAUUCGUCUUGAUCUCAUGCGAAUACCCCUAUGCUUUGCGUCAUUUCUCUCGAUGCAUAGAAACCAUAAAACUAGUAGAGGGAUAAUAAUGCGAAUGUGUCCACUCCAAGUAAACUAUCCAGAGUAAAGCCAUCAUAGAAAUCUUUGUCUGACGCUCUCGCCUGCAAUCAUAGUAAUCUGAAAUAAGCGCCCACAGUGUUGCCACACCUGAUCUGAUAUACUACUACGAGCAAAAAUAUGGGUAAUUGUCUCAAUUUCAUAACAACAUUGACACUGAGAAGCUAGUUGAGUGCCAACCCUCUUCUGAAUAAUAGUAUCCACCGGAAUCAAAUCUUGCCAUAAUUUCCAACAGAAAAAUGAGAUUUUGGUAGGUAUGGUAGGGUUCCAAAGGAGAUGAAAUGAAUCCUGUGAUGGUUUGCUAGAACGGAUCAACUGCUAUGCUGACUUAGUAGUAAAUCUACCAUUUGAUGUAGCCCUCCAAAAAAUACGAUCUGGGAUGUCGAAACAUAAUGGCAUGUCCACAAUCCAUUCUGCCGAAACUGGUGGAAGAGCUUGUAUUAAUCAUCCAAAGUUCCAUCCAGUCUCCUCGAAAAAAUCUUGCACCCUCUCAUAUGUGUGUUGCCUAUGUGGGUGGAUAGAUGCUAAAUGACUAUUUCCCAUCUAACAAUCAUGCCAAAAGAAAAUUUGACCUGUCUCAAGUUUCCACGUAAUGUGUGGUUCUGCACAUUGUCCAAAUCUCUUCACUCUAUUCCAUAUAGGCGAGGCUGAAUUAGGGAUAGCUGCAAGUGAUGGAUGUGUCCCACUACAGUAUUUGCCCAAUAACAACUGAGCCCAAAGAGAUUUCUGGGUUCUAAAUAACCACCAUAACUUCAUGGAGAAUAUGUCAACCAUAUCCUGUAGUUUUCUAAAGCCCAAUCCACCCUCGUCAGUAGGAUAGCAAAGCUCAUUCCACUUUCGCUAAUGUAAUCUCGAUGCAUGAUCCUUAGAAUCCCAUAGGAAUCUCGCCAAAAUACUCUCCAGCUUUUUCAGUACAACCUUGGGAGUUCGUAGAAUCUGAAAAAGAUAUAUUGGAAUGGAGAAGAGAAAUGACCUUAGUAAAGUGAUUCUACCACCAGGGGAGAGAAGUCUAGAGGCCCAUCUAGAAAUCCUAUUCCUGAUUUUCAUAAUGAGGUCGUCAAACAGAAUACUCCUCUUAGCCCCCUUACACAUCGGCACUCCUAAGUAUGUAAACGGCAGUCGUUGAUGAGAAAAUCUAGUCAAAAUCACUAGCCUUCGAAUAUGAAUAUCCGAUGCCCG